UAACGGUCCUAAGGUAGCGAAAUUCCUUGUCGGGUAAGUUCCGACCUGCACGAAUCGUGUAACGAGUUGUCCGCUGUCUCAACGAGGGGCUCAGUGAAAUUGUAAUAGCAGUGAAGAUGCUGCUUACCCGCAGAAGGACGGAAAGACCCUAUGCACCUUAACUGUAAGCUGUCACUGGUCGUUUGGUUUUCAUGCUUAGCGUAAGUGGGAGGCUUUGAAGCGAUACUUUCGGGUAUCGCAGAGCCAACGAUGAAACACCACCCUUGGGUAUUGAACGAUCUAACCGCAGUCCAUGAAUCUGGAUGUGGGACCAUGUCAGCCGGUCAGUUUUACUGGGGCGGUAUCCUCCCAAAGAGUAACGGAGGAGCGCGAAGGUUGGCUCAGCGUGGUUGGCAAUCACGUGUUGAGUGCAUUGGCAUAAGCCAGCCUAACUGUGAGACUUACAGGUCGAACAGAUGCGAAAGCAGGCCAAAGUGAUCCGGCGGUUUAAUGUGGAAUUGCCGUCGCUUAACGGACAAAAGGUACGCUAGGGAUAACAGGCUGAUUUCAUCCAAGAGUUCAUAUCGACGAUGAAGUUUGGCACCUCGAUGUCGGCUCGUCGCAUCCUGGGGCUGGAGAAGGUCCCAAGGGUCCGGCUGUUCGCCGGUUAAAGCGGCACGCGAGCUGGGUUCAGAACGUCGCGAGACAGUUCGGUCCUCUAUCCUCUGUGGGCGCAGGAAAGUUGAGGGGUUUAAUUCCUAGUACGAGAGGACCGGAAUUAACGCACCUCUGGUGUUCCAGUUGUUCUGUCAAGAGCAUCGCUGGGCAGCUAUGUGCGGAAGGGAUAAGCGCUGAAAGCAUCUAAGUGCCAAGCCCAUCCCAAGAUAAGCUUUCCCUGAAGGAUCGUGGAAGACUACCACGUUGAUAGGCCGCGGGUGCAAGCGCAGUAAUGUGUUCAGCUCAGUGGUACUAAUCAUCCGUUUGUCUUGCAUUGCUCCAUCU
rnacentral:rRNA from 1 species